CCUACGGGAGGCAGCAGUGAGGAAUAUUGGUCAAUGGGCUUACGCCUGAACCAGCCAAGUCGCGUGAGGGAAGACUGCCCUAUGGGUUGUAAACCUCUUUUGUCAGGGAGCAAUUGGCGCUACGUGUAGCGUUAUCGAGAGUACCUGAAUAAAAAGCAUCGGCUAACUCAGUGCCAGCAGCCGCGGUAAUACGGGGGAUGCGAGCGUUAUCCGGAUUUAUUGGGUUUAAGGGGUGCGUAGGCGGAAUGCCAAGUCAGCGGUAAAAUCGCGGGGCUCAACCGAGCUUCGCAGUUGAAACUGGCGGUCUUGAGUAGGUGAGAGGUAUGCGGAAUGCGUGGUGUAGCGGUGAAAUGCAUAGAUAUCACGCAGAACUCCGAUUGCGAAGGCAGCAUACCGGCGUCCAACUGACGCUGAAGCACGAAAGCGUGGGUAUCGAACAGGAUUAGAUACCCGAGUAGUC
rnacentral:rRNA from 1 species